rnacentral:rRNA from 1 species
AGCGAACGUUUGCGGCGGGCCUAACACAUGCAAGUCGAACGCACUAGCAAUAGUGAGUGGCGCACGGGUGCGUAACACGUGGGUAAUCAACCCUUCAGCUUGGGAUAACGACUUGAAAGGGUCGCUAAUACCGGAUACGGCGCGGGAGGCUUCGGCUUCUUACGAGAAAGCCUCGCAAGGGACACUGAAGGACGAGCCUGCGGCCCAUCAGCUAGUUGGUGAGGUAAGAGCUCACCAAGGCGAAGACGGGUAGCUGGUCUGAGAGGAUGAUCAGCCACACUGGAACUGAGACACGGUCCAGACUCCUACGGGAGGCAGCAGUGGGGAGUAUUGCGCAAUGGGCGAAAGCCUGACGCAGCCACGCCGCGUGAGCGAUGAAGGCCUGGUCGUAAGCUCUGUGGGAGAGACGAAGAAAGACCCGUGAAGAGCGGGCCGUUGACGGUAGUCUCCUUAGCAAGCACCGGCUAACUACCGU